GGUAACUAGCUAUUUAUAAAUAUGGGAACGAGGUCAUCAGCGGUGUUGCCCAAAAGGCGCGGGUAAACCAAAUACAAUAUGGCGGCGGAUGAAGUUGUUUUUGUUCGAUUCGGGAAACUUCCAAAGGAAAGACCACGAAAAACUGUGUUGAGCAAAGAGGGGCAGAGAUGUCUAGCACAUCAACUCCUAGAGCACAUCAAGCCUGUCUGUGGUUACCAUUGCAAUGUCACACUUCUAUUCCUGGAUGCAACAAGGAGAACUUUUGGCAUUGGUGACAGUAUAAAUAUUGUAUUAAACUCACAAAGUUACACUUUUUAUCUCAACAUAAUAACCAUUUUCUUUAUUGCAUUUAUUUUAAAAAAUAGCAAAUUUGUCUUUAAAGAUUGCAGAUUACACAGUUGCAGUAUGCUAUUUUAUUAUAAAGCUAUGGUGGUCCUACACAUGCUCUCAUUGGUUUAUUAGCCACCAAUACAUCCCCGUAAGGGAUGAUCCUGGUUUGGCAGUACAGGAACUUAUGGUCCCUCAAAUGUUUCCAUCGUUUGUAUUUAGUGAGUUCGUUCUUUUUCCAUUGGAAAAAUUGGGUCCGUGAGGUCCGUGAGAAAAGGUAGUUUAGAGGUUGGCGGUACGAGACCACUUUCACAAAAGUGAAAGUGAGCCCGAACCAAGCCAACCGCUAUACUACUGCCGUGUGACGGGAUCAUGCUGUAUGGAAACUGCCGAUGGAAUCCAUUUUAUGGAAACUAUACAUUUAUUUCAUUUUAUGGAGACUAUGUUAUUUUUAGUUUUAUGGAUACUAUAUAUUUUCGCGUGAUGGGAUCCGUUGUAUGUAAACUGCUAUGGAAUCCACUGUGUGGAAACUGCUGAUGGAAUUCAUUUUAUGGAAACUGUACAUUUUUUUAUGGAGACUACAUGUUAUUUUUAGUUUUAUGGAUACUAUAUAUUUUUCGUACGGUGUGUGAUGGUUUCAAAUACAAUCCUAUGGUUACGGCCGCUGCGUGACAUUCUUGGAAUUUUUAUUCUUAGGAGUGUAUCUGGGGAGAACCCGCUGGUGAGUCUGGGCAUGUCUAUUGUAUUUAGGGAUUUUCCCGCUGACAAAGUGGAAUGUUCUAGAUGUGCUUAAAGCCGAAUUGCCACCAGUUUACUUCCGGAGGUCCGACAGAAACCUCAACCGUUAAAAGACAAAAUAAUCUACUAGAAUCCGAGAUAUUUAACAGGCCAUCCGCUCUAAAUUAUCAAUCACAUCCUCAAAGAAACUUCCAAUAGACACACUACUUUCAAUAUUCUGAAAUAUUUUUCACUUUUUCCAUUAAAAAUCAUCGGAGAUUGUUAUGUAAUCCACCGGAAGUAAACUGGUGAUAAUGCGGCUUUAAAGUCAUGGGACUAUCGUAUGAUCAUAUUGUGCCCAUAGGCGUAAGGAUAAAGUCUUAUAUAAUAAUAUAUAAGAUGAGAUGUGAUGAAGGGAUACAUAUGGCAUAA